UCUUUCCUUUCCAAAUUAAGAGCUCAGUUUUGUAUUACACUCACGGAUAUAAAACUUGGCUCUCUGGUUUGGGAUGCAUGAGAUCUCAUUCACUAAAUAUUUCUGGAGCAACGAAGAGUUUCUAGGAUCUUCCAGGCUUGGCAAGGAAUAAGGUCGCAAGCAAGUCACUAAGCUUGGCCCAUAUUCAAGACGAGAGAUCAGAGAACCCACCUCUUGAUGGGAGGAGUGUCAUAUAAUUUGCAGACAUCCACAGCGGCCAAUCCGACAGUAGCAGAAACCAACAGCGAACUCCAUGUAUGGCACUAUACCCCAGGGGACCGUCCAUCACCUGCUGGCUGGCAGGUUGAUUACACUGGAACAUUUCCAUCCAUUGUGGAAGAAACGGUACCUUGUUCUCACCGGAAUAUACACUUACUCUGAAUAUGAAUCUGCCUUCCUUCCCUAUAGUACUUCUGCCAAAACCACCAUCUGUGGGUUUACAUAAUGGCAGCCAUAUUCGCUGCCGCAGCACUUCAUGGAGCACCGCCUCUGACCAGGGGGCUCAUUACAGCCAAUGAACCAUGCCCACGGAGCUGUGUCUAUGGAACUGACUGGACUCACCAUGUUCAUCAUCACUCUGGAGCAGCUGGCCUGCUAGAACACUGAAGGGGCCUUUUGCAGACUCCCCUACAGUGCCAACCGGGUGAUAACACUUUGUGUGUGGGUGAGAUAAUGUUCCCAAGGAUGAAGUAUAGACUCUGAAUUCCUAUCCAACAUGUGGUGCUGUUUCUCCCAGGGCCAAGGAGCAUGGAUCUGGGAUCAAGGGAUUGAAAUGGGAGAGGUUCCUCUCACUAACACCCCUAAUGAUUAACAGGCCAGUUUUACUCCUGUUUCUGCAACUAGAGGCAUUGGUUCUGGAGGCAAGAGCACUUCCACUGGAGACCAAACAGACGUGCUUUUUGACUGCAGGCUCUGUCACCACCUGACAUGGUCCAUGUGUGCAUAUUUUACUGCCUUGUUACCACUGACUCCAUGAGGAACAGAGCAGGUCCCGGGACUCAGUAGCUGCUUAUGUAUUUGUUGAUUUGUGUGCGCGUGCAUGUGGGGGAGGGGUUGGGGGAGGAGUCUGGUUUAAACGCUAGUAAGUCAUGAUCAGAGUAAUGAUAGUUUUCCUAUACUGUAUCUGGAAUACUGAGUUAAUAAUGUUCUAGAUAAACCAGAGGUAGUGGUUUAA